rnacentral:lncRNA from 1 species
GGACAUAUGUUUUCAUCUUUCACCAUAUAGUUGUUUUACAACACAACAACUUUUAUAUAAAAAUGCCAUUGGCAAUAUCUAAGAGAAACUAUUGGCUUUGAUUUGGUGAAGAAAAUGAGUAAGUUUUGUCAACUUGGUUGUAUUGAAGCCUUUGCAAAUGUUGAUGAUCUACUAUCAUAUUUUCAAUGUCAUACCUAAGAGUAGGUAUAGAGUAAAGAAGAUAUGUGCAAGACAUGGAGCAAUCUUAAUUUCUAAAACACCAUUGUUUGUAUUUUUCAACAAUUACAACAACCUAACAACAGGCAUAUAUAUUAUCCUAAUGUUAUAUACUUUGCUAAACUAUAUGUUUUUUUAACUUGUAUAAAAGAGUUAAGUAUUCAAAUAAUUUUUUUAGCUUUCAUCCGUAUAGACCAAAAUAUAAUUUGUUUGUAGGGUUGCUAAGAAAACCUUUUCCAUUAACAAAUCUAAAUCACAAUAAGAUUAGUAUGUUUGUACCAAUGAUUAGGAAUUCAUGAGGGUUUAGAUGGUUUAAGCCUAUG